rnacentral:rRNA from 1 species
GAUGAACGCUGGCGGCGUGCCUAACACAUGCAAGUCGAGCGGACGGACGAGAAGCUUGCGUCGUUGAUGUUAGCGGCGGACGGGUGAGUAACGCGUGGAUCACCUACUUAUAAGACUGGGAUAAUUUCGGGAAACGGGAUCAAAUCCGGUAUAAUAUUUUGAACCGCGGGGUGCAAUGGAAAGUGACGGCGUUGGGGGCUGUAAUAGCGGGUUCCGCGCUGGUUUAGCUAGUUGUUAAGUUAACGGCUUACCAAGGCGACGAUGCGUAGCCGAGCUGAGAGGGUGAUCGGCCACACUGGAGCGGAGACACGGUCCAGACUCCUACGGGAGGCAGCAGUAGGGAAUCUUCGGCAAUGGGCGAAAGCCUGACGCAGCAACGCCGCGUGAGUGAUGAAGGCCUUCGGAUCGUAAAGCUCUGUUAUUGGGGAAGAACAGAUGUGGAAGUAACUGUGGCCGUCUUGACGGUACCUAAUCAGGAAGCAACGGCUAACUACGUG